rnacentral:rRNA from 1 species
UACGUAGGGGGCUAGCGUUGUCCGGAUUUAUUGGGCGUAAAGAGCGUGUAGGCGGCCAGGUAGGUCUGGUGUGAAAACUCGAGGCUUAACCUCGAGAUGUCAUCGGAAACCAUCUGGCUAGAGUCCGGAAGAGGAGAGUGGAAUUCCUGGUGUAGCGGUGAAAUGCGCAGAUAUCAGGAAGAACACCAAUGGCGAAAGCAGCUCUCUGGGCCGUAACUGACGCUGAGGAGCGAAAGCAUGGGGAGCGAACAGG